CUUGGCUUGGGUAGGGCUGCAGAUGUCAACAAAGCUACCCCAGAAAUAAUUUCUUCUGCUGUAUUUGCUUGCUUAAUGCCCCUGCUUUAAGAUCAAUGCUAUGAUAGCUCGGCAGUCCAUUUCUCGAACAUAACCUGUUCUAUCCAAGUGCACCCAAAAAACAUAAAUCAGCUCUUUUAGUUGGAACCCGGUGACCAUUAAUUUCAGGCUGAGGCAUUAUUGUUAUUCUCUUCAUACCGUGCAAAAUAUUUCCCUGGAUUCUGACAAGGGGAGGAAAUUUCAUAGUGUUAGAAAUAUUACUGGGAGCAUCUUGUUCCGACUGGAUUCAGAUCUCUGUUAUUUUGGCAUUCUCUUCUGCUUUUCAAAUUGCUGUUAUUUGAAAGUUACUAACAAUGGAAGAGUGCAUCUGAUCGCUUGGGAAGGCAGCUACAAUGCACAACUGUUCCUCCUACAGAUGUUAAGCUGCUGCUCAAGGUCAUAAAACAUUUGAAUGUCAUUUCUUGAAUAAGUGCUCAUGCUCUGAGGUGGAGGGUUAGCUCACGCAGGUCAUACAGUUCAGCAACUCUAAGUUCAGUCCAGAAUUUCUGCACUGGAGGCAUCCUUACCAUUUUCUAUAAUUAUUAUUUUCCUUUAUAUUAUACCAUUAUGAUAGACUGCAAAUUUUUCUGUGAUUUUUUUUUUCCUUGUGGGAUAAGUGCUAUAUAGAGACACCUGGCGCAAACUGAAUAAGUUACAUGGAGUUGUAGCAGUAGCACAUCCUUUGUGUUGCACUCUGCUUAGCUUAGCUUGGCUAAUUUGCUCUAUUAAGUGUCUCUGUAAAUUGUAGUGCCUGCAGUAGUUGUGGCACUUUACAUGGCGUCAUCUGGAAAUCCCUCUAUGUAGCCUUGCUCUCAGAACUGCUACGUUACACCCCUGAGGUUGUGUACUUCUUCUGUCCAGUAAUUUUGAGUCACUAGCACAGCUUAAGUUGAGAAUAAUAUAAAUCCUUGGGCAUUAUAAAACAUGAAUGUCCCUUUGUAACUGCUCUCCCAGACCAGCAUUUGACUUAUUUGCUAGCAGUUAUUUUAUAUAAGGUCAACUGCUGUUGCCUUUGCUAAGAUUUUGUUGCCUCCGUGAAAAGCCCUGGAUUUACCACGAGUAGAAAUAAAACUACCAAAAUACUUGUGUUGUUAUGCUUUAGGUUUCGUGGUAGGUUGGGUAACACACAUGUAUAUUAGGCUACAUUUUCUGAAAGCAUGAACAAGGUCACAAAGAGAUAUGCAGACGCACAGAUCCUCCAAGUUUUCUAAGAUAUGCAAAACCCUGCCAUCAUUCUGUGGGAUCAGCAGUGCAAGAGAAGCCUACGGUGAUGAGGAGCCAAUAUGCAGGCCUCAGGGAGCCCCUACUUUCACAUUUGGUGUGAAUUCCAAAGCUUGCCUGUUGUGCUGUUAUUUAUUCCUGCUGGUCAUAAUGAAGGGGGAAAGGAACAAGUAUCAUGUUCACAAAUUUGGUUCUUGAAUCCUUGGCAGAAAUUUUGAGAUCACAGCUCUUCUGUCCUCUGAAAUGCUUUCACUUGGAGAAGUUGUAUGAUGUGGUGGAAUUUCUUUCUUCCUUAUAUCUGUGUUGGCUAAAACAAGACAGAGGAGCUUGAAAAGGCUCACCCUCCUCAAGGAAUGCUAUCUGAUUCGUAAGCAUUCCUAGAGGUUAAGGCUGGUGACUAUCAAGAAAGCAAAUACUUCACGCAAGGCACUCUUCUACCAAAGAGACAGAAGACAGCUUUCAUAUUCUCGAGUCAUCCUACAAAGUCCUGCGUGAAAUAGACUACUGCAGCCUACAGGCAUCAUAGAAAUAUUUCAGUCAAGACCACAAGUUCCACUCUUGCCCCUAUGCUUAUGCUAAUGUGCACGAUCUCUUUGAUGAACAGCAGCAAGGAGACUGGAUAGCUUGAGGUGUAAUUGAUGGGAUGCUGAAGGUCUGGCUGUUGUUUUGGUGGUUAUUUUUAUAGAUUAUAAAGGAACUGACCAUGCAGUGCUACCUCAACUUGUGGCUGAAUCUAACAGCUUCAUGGACUCAGCCCUCCAUUUAGCCCAUUUGGUCAAAUUAGGCUGGUGGUAACUGAAAGCUGUGACCAGCUGAUGGCUAUGUUGAAUGAUAGCUUGUGGAAAUCUCCUUAGUGGACUCAGACCAAAUUUUACUGACAGAAUCUCACUAUCUCCAAGCAAAUUCCUCCAAAAUAAAUGCUAACUCGAGGCUCAGGGGCAACCACAGGUUUAAAGACAAGGAGGGUGAACUUGUGUCUUCUCUAGAAGUAUUGUCUGUAAGCCAGCAAUGAAGUGAAAAAAAGGCACAUUUGUGUCAGCACCACCCAGGCUGUCAAUAAAGAACUCCUGCCCUCAGAACUAUCAAAUCAAAUUCAUAUGAAUUUCCCACUCUUCCAAAACCACUUUCCCACAGGGAAGAAGGGAUCACAAAAUUAAACAGCAUUCCCUUCUUCUCACAUCUUUGUAAUCUGCAAGCACUGUGCCUGUCACAGUGCUCCCAGGAGGUUUCCUUAACCAUAAUGUCUCAUCUCUGCAAACAGCUGUUUCCCUUUUGCACAAGAGUUCUUGGAGAUAUGCUUCACUUAUCAGAACUAUACCACUGAAAAGCUGGUAAAUAACCAAGUUCUGUUGGAAAGAUGAAAUCGCACUGCAGAUAGAUGGAUUUGCUUAACCUAUAAAAUAAUUCUGAGAUAGCUAUUGUUUUGGCAAAAUUCUAAAAUGUAACAAAGUUUGAUUGUUCUUGGCUUCUCCUAAUUUGCUUACUUUGGGGUAAUAGCUGGCCUUCAAUAUGCAUGUUAGUCUCGUUACUGUUAAGUUAAAUAUAUACACACAUAUCUAAGAGAGGUUUGACCAUUUACUGUCAGUGUUCCAAGGUUAGCUGAAGUCUGGACCUAUUACUUUCUCUGUGCUCCACUAAUUGAGACCAAGGCUUAUGCAAGACUUCCUUGGGGAUCACAGGGUCUGAGGUUUUUAUAGUCCACAAGGCUAAAAUUCAAAUAUGAACCACAGCUGUUUGGAUGGAAGUCCUGGACCUCAUCCUUUUGAACUAUAGUGACCUGCUCAGCCUUGCCAUCAUGUGAAACUCAGAAAUCCCUGCACAGAUGAUGACUGGGAUGUGAAAAUUGCCUGCCAAGCAGACCUGGGUAAAGUGAUUGGUUUACAGUGCUCUGGGAUUUGCAGGUGGAAGGACUGCUCUCUCACUCUCCUCUGCUACCCUCUUCCCUUCCAUUUCUGUACAUAUCAUUCUUUUAUAUAUAUAUAUAUAUAUAUAUGCAGAUUUGAUUCCACAUUCACCACCCAAACAGCUGAAUUGAUGUUCCUAUUGAAGAUGGUGAAGUUCCUCCCUUCUGCCAAGUACAGUUAUUUUUAUGAGUCCCCAGUAAGAGGUAAAGUAAGAGAAACAGGGUGUGGGAUAAACUAGUUAAUCUAUUUAAAUAGGGAUAGACCUCUAGCGCCCUAACACUUAAAUACUUUGUCUUCACUCGGCUGUGCUAUAUUUUAACUGGGGACUACAACCAGGACAAACAAGCGUGGCCUUUUCCUACUGUGGAUUGUCAUGCGAAAAUACUUGUGAAGGGGUGGAGUAAACAUUUUUGGGGAUCACACUGCAAGAGGAGAUAUAUGGGAACUCACUGUGAUGCAAAAGGAAAUCAUGUGUUACUCCACAGAUGAUGUGAUUGGCAUUGUGAGCUCAGAUGCGUAAAGACUAUCGAGGCAAAAAAAUCAAGAUUGAAGCAGAAUGAAAUACUCCUUUCUUCGGUAAGUCAGUGGGAGUCAUAAAUACUUCUGCAUCAGCUAGGAAAGCUACAAAAAACUAAAUCACAACUCUAUUUUCAUGCUGAUGCAUGCACUUUAAAGUAAUAUAUAUAAAAAUGCCUUCCUUUUGGCAUAACUGCAAUUACAUAAAUAUUUAGAUUUAUACUAAUAAGUAAUUUUGCAGAAGUUUAAAAUGAUAGGCUGCGUGAUAGCUAUUUAAGGGGAUGGGCAGCCCACCUUCCAGUGGCCACAGUGACUUCCAUCAAGUCGUAAUUGCAGGAGAGGGUGCUUCUGGAAAUUAAUGGUGAAUCUUAUAUUCCCUUGCAUUUAGAAUCCAAAUCUAUUAUUUCAUUACUACUGUUAAUUAUAUAACAAUCAUAUAAUAAUUAUAAAAAUAAUUAUAUAAUAACUAUGUCUGAAUAAAUAAUAAGCAUUUUCAAUAUUAAUGACUGCCUAGCAAGCAAGGCAAAGCAGAUCUUAAUCUGGUUUGAGUUUCUAUCCUUACACAUUCAUUUUACUCUUGCAAAGCAUAUUAAAUACUAUGGAAUGUAUAAAAAAGGCCACAAUUUCUUCUCUAUUGGUAUACUGAAAGUCUUUGUGUGUCCAAGGUAAUAGGAAUUCCCACAUUCGUGCUUACUGUAAAAUACAGCAAGCAAAAGCUAGAUAAAUUCUGUUUAAUAUGGAAAUAAUUUUGGCUGCAUCUUUGGCUUUGUAUGACAUGGAAACUGGUGAUUGUUUAUGCUUUCCUACUUUUUUUGGUCUGCAUUAAAAUCCCACAUGAGAAACAAAUUUUUCUCUAGGAACAAAAUGUUACUUUUUUGGGACUGAGUUCUAAUAAGCUGGGUAGUACGUCUGCUUCUUUUCAGCUGGGAAAUUGCAAUGCAUAUAAAAUCCAGAUGGAUAACACAUGAGGCUGGAAGCAGCCUUGGCCAAUCAGCCACGUCACUUGAUUAAAAGAAACCUAUAAUAAUUUAAGUAAAAAUAGUACCCUAACAAAGUAACAGAGCAACAAACUGGCUGCAGCAUGCGAUUUCAUCACAGUUCCAAUAUUGCUUUACUUUUGCUGGUUGGUCCUUUCAUAUCUUAUUGUAAAUUAACCUAUUUGCAUUAAGCGUGCAUGGAACUUGUGAUUAAAGCCCCAAAAUGUCAGUGAUGGAAGAUACAUGAUAAGCAGGAUGAGGGGGGAAAUCCAUCACCAGACUACAGAAGGCCACAAGAACCUAUUGCUCUUAGGGCAGUGGUGCACUUGAAGAACUCAGCUGAGAGUUUUGCCAUGAGGAAUCACCUACCCUGGCACGUGCCACACUAGUGCAGACCAGUACUUUUUGUAUGGAUUUUGUCUGUGACUGUCAGAAAGCAAGUAAGUGCAUCAAUGCAAUUACAAGGUCACUCUGCGGAAAAACUCCUGAGUAUCCCGCGAGAUGCAGCAGAUUUGUGGGUGAGACUGUCUAAGGCAGCCUGUGAAGAAGUCACAGACAGGACUUGCAGAGGGAUGGAGCCACAUCUGGAAUCCCUGUGGGCAAUUGAAGGAAUGUUUAUUAUUCUUUGUUUAUUAUUUUGAGUGUGUACUCUCCCUCUUCCUUUCUUUGUCUCUCUUUGUUAUUUGUGUAAUAAAAUUCCUCUAGGCAUACAAAGUAAGUAAGUCAUCUGGAAUUGUGCAGUUCCCUCUGCCAGGAAGCUGGAAAAGCCUCUCGUGCAGAGACAAAAGUAUGGGCUCAUCUCAAACACUGAGAAAUUACAGAAAUAUUCACCAUUUGCCUUUGAGUUAUAUUUACAUAGGAAAGAACUGUGGCAAAUACGUGUGCUUCUUGCUGUUAAAAAAAAUUGGCUUUUAUCCUGCCCAAGGUGUUGUGUUUAUUUAAAAGUUGUUGAGAAAUAAUUUGUACAUUCUAAAAUAAAGCAUGCAAAAUACAUUAAAAGGGCCCAGUGACAAAGUUGUUUUUUUUUUUUUUGCCAGUGGGUGUGGAGAAGGAAAAGGAAAUGAGUAAGUAGAGAGGAGCGUCUUUAUGGCCACAUGGCUAGUGAAAAUUUCUAUUUAUUCUUUGGGGAAAAAGCAAAGUAGCUGCAUAGUUGCUGGUUGGAUAGGUGCCGGGACUAUUUUUAUUGGCAGGCAGCUCUGAGUGGCUGAAAGGCGGUCAUUAACACUCUGACACAAAGUGCUGACAGGGCGAUUAUAAGAUUAACACCCUAUGUUAUAUUAACAGUGUCAAAACCUCCCCGUACCUGUCAGUGAGAAAUAAUGGCACGAAGGAAAACAUUAUAGACAUGCUGAGACUUUAGCAUUGAAAUACCAUGCAGCUAUUCACUUUUUGAAAUUGAUCUAAAUAUCUAGAUGACCUACUGAAGGCUCAUAAAAUAAUGUGAUUUAAAUGGCAGCUUCACCAAAUCAAAAAAUGAAUGCAAAAGUUAAGCCGCCCAGCUUACUUACUCUCUUGUUGACACUUUUAGCCCUGAUCUCCCUGGCAGUGGGUCUCUCACAACUGCUGCCUUUCAGUAGAGUUAUGGUUUGAGAUCUCAUAAAUUUAGGAUUUGACCUUAGGACUUUUGACAAAAACAGAGCUUUUCUGGAGAAUAUUAUUACUGGUCAAAAUUCAACCUCGGUCUUUCUCCAGGACUGCUAGUCAUCAUAGACUGGUUUUAUCAGUGAGAGCCUUUGGACCAUAAGGACCAAUCUGCAUUUAAAAUGUCUCUGCUCCACGUUCAUUAGAACUGGAAUAGCAAACCCUCUGGCAUAGCUGUCCUGGAGAAUAUCCAAAGAAUGGCAACGAAACCAGUGAAGUUUCUGGAUCACAAGUCUUAUGGAGAGCAACUGAGGGAAAUGAGAUUGGUCAUUCUGGAGAAGGUGAGGUUCGGGGAAGACCUUAUCACACUCUACAGCUGCCUAAAAGGAGGUUGUGGUGAGAUGAGGGCUCUUCUCCCAGGUUUCAGUGAUAGGAUGAGAGAUGAUGACCUUAAAUUGCACCAGGGGAGGUUCAAGUUGGAUAUUAGGGAAAAUUUCUUCUCAGGAGUGGUGAUGCACUGGCACAGGCUGCUCAGGGAGGCGGUAGAGUCACUGUCCCUGGAGGUGUUCAAGAAAAGGGUGGGUGUGACACUGAGGGACAUAAUCUAGAGCAGUCGUGGCCGUGGCUUGAUGGUUGGACUAGAUGAUCGUAGUGGUCUUUUCAACCUUGAUGAUUCUAUGAUAGCUUCAGCUAGACUGCCUUAUGCUGCCUUAAGUUCUGCCAGUUUUGAUUAAGAGGAUAAGCCAGGACAAAAAAAGUUCUUCCUGUAAGACUAAAUCUGUACCUUCACUAGUAAAAAAUAUUGUUCAAGUGUUGCCAGGCAAAGCAUUAUUUCUGUAUUUUUAUUAUUAUAUUUUAUGUUGUAUAUGAUGAUAAUACAGUCUAUAUAUUUUUGUCUGUAAGACUGAUAAAUAAAAUGCAAAUUAAAUAUUCUUCUAAUACUUUGGUUUCUAACCAAAUAAAGACAUGGUCAAAUCACCCCACGUGCCAGGAAAUGCUUCUGAGUUGCAUAAGAAAGGUUUGAUAGUUUUAAGUAAGUGGGAUCUGG
rnacentral:lncRNA from 1 species